rnacentral:rRNA from 1 species
UGGGGAUGGGGGGGUGCCUACCAUGCAAGUCGAACGGAAACUCCCGUCGAUGCGAUUUCGGUCAAGUCAAGGGACCUUUUAGUGGCGGACGGGUGAGUAACGCGUGGGCAACCUGCCUUACACCGGGGGAUAACACUUAGAAAUAGGUGCUAAUACCGCAUAACAGGAGAACAUGCAUGUGUUUUCCUUGAAAACCACGGUGGUGUAAGAUGGACCCGCGUCUGAUUAGCUUGUUGGCAGGGUAACGGCCUACCAAGGCGACGAUCAGUAGCCGGCCUGAGAGGGUGGACGGCCACAUUGGGACUGAGACACGGCCCAGACUCCUACGGGAGGCAGCAGUGGGGAAUAUUGCACAAUGGGGGAAACCCUGAUGCAGCGACGCCGCGUGAGUGAAGAAGUAUUUCGGUAUGUAAAGCUCUGUCAGCAGGGAAGAAAAUGACGGUACCUGACCAAGAAGCCCCGGCUAACUACGUGCCAGCAGCCGCGGUAAUACGUAGGGGGCAAGCGUUAUCCGGAUUUACUGGGUGUAAAGGGAGCGCAGACGGCAGUGCAAGUCCGGAGUGAAAGCCCGGGGCCCAACCCCGGGACUGCUCUGGAAACUGUACGGCUGGAGUGCCGGAGAGGUAAGCGGAAUUCCUAGUGUAGCGGUGAAAUGCGUAAAUAUUACGAGGAACACCAGUGGCGAAGGCGGCUUACUGGACGGUAACUGACGUUGAUGCUCGAAAGCCGUGGAGAGCAAACAGGAUUAAUACUCCCUGUUAUUCCACGCCUGUAACUGAUUGAUUAAUAAGGUGUUCGGGGAGUAAAAACUGCCCGGCGCCCUGUAUUAUACCCUUUACGUAAUCCCCCC